UCUGUCGGAAUAAAUGCAGCUGACUGGUUCGUUCAUGGGGGCUUUAGAUAAAAGCUGGGAGAUGUUCUCAGUUGGGACAAGAGGGCUCUUUCAGUUUAAUUAAUUGGCGACACGUACAUGAGAGAGGCUACAAGUUCAGGGCUGACAUCACUCAAUUUCUGCCCUCAAAUAUUAAAUCUAAGUCAGUGAUUCGCUGGUUGCUCAAUAGCACCAAGAAUCGCCUUAAUGUAAGUCAAGGGCACCUCCAGCCUUUUAUUUUGGUUUUAUUAAUUUUUUUAAGUAGUAAAGCAGAGAGCGAGUGUCUUUCCUAAGCCCUAUUUGGCAUCUUGUCUUUCAAGGGGCCCAGGUACCCGUUUUCCCCUUCUUACAUGGAGGGGCAUUCUUGAGCUUCACUGGAAACCCUGGGCUCCUGCCUCGCAGCUCUGUUUGUUUUGGACUUUUAUCAAGGAGGGGCGGGGUGGAAAGUUCUACGUGGGGGCAGAGAUGUCAAGCACAGCCCCCUGGCCUUUCUCCCAGCCAAACAGCUCUGAUAAGUGGGCAGGCCUUGAGCCCGGAGACCCAUAGACACACUUGGAUGAAAUCAGUUGGCCAGUCCCUCCAAGGGCUCUGACCAGCUCCGGAUGCGCCGCCCCCCCCCCCCCCCCCCCGCCAGCACCACAGACAUGGCCAACCAGACCAACGCCUCCACCCUGUACAACAGCUACGAAUACUACCUGGACUACUUGGACCUCAUUCCCGUGGAUGAGAGGAAGCUGAAAGCCAACAAAUCUCCUGAAUAGUGCCUGGCACAGUCUCCGCGGGAUGAAUAAAUAAACAAAUGUGAACAGCUCCAGACCAGCCCAGGCCUGGCUGAACCAGCCAACAGCUCUGCUACCCCAUGGCCGAACCACAUCUCCUUUGAGGUCUGAACCUCUCCCAGCUAUGUCCUUCCCUGGUGUGAUGGGCUGGACUGUGCCCCCCCAACCCAAUUACUAUAUUGAAAUCCUAACUCCGGUACUUAAGAACAUGACACUAUUUGGAGAAGGGGGUCUUGAAAGAGGUGAUUAAAUUAUAUUGCGGUCAUAAGGGUGAGUCCUAAUCCAGUAUGACCAGUGUCCUUAGAGGAGGAGACCAGGACACAGACACACGCAGAGGGAAGACCAUGUGAGGACACAGACCGAGGACAGCCAUCUACACGCCAAGGAGUGAGGCCUUGGAAGAACCAACCCUGUGGACCCCUUGAUCUUGGACUUCCAGGCUCCAGGAUUGUGAGAAAAUAAAUUUCUGCUCUUUAAGCCACUGUCUUCGUCUGUUCAGGCUAAUAUAACAAAAUACCAUAGACUGGGUGGCUUAGAAAACAAGGAUGUAUUUCUCACAGUUCUGCAGGCUGAGAAGUCUAACAUGAAGACACCAGCGUGGUGGCGUCUGGGUGAGGGAACUUCUCCUGCUUCAGAGCUGUUCCUCUGGGUUGGAUCUCUGACCCAGUCGAACAGACCAGAGAGAUUCACCUCCCAGUUCCGUGCAGAGGUACACAUCAAAGGCAGAAAGAGGCUGGGAAUGGAGCCAUGAACCAGGGAUGCUUUAAGGAAAAAUCUGUCACAGCCUGUAUCGACUUCCACUGAUGUGCCGGCUCUGGCAGCUUCAAUAAUAAGGUGGUCUGUUCAUCUGCUGCUCCCACAGCUGGGAGAGGAAGAACAGAAACAUGCCACUAACCCAAUCUCUUCUGAACACAAGGCAGAGAACUCAGUGAAAAGAGCGAGCAAAAGACCUACAUGUAACUCUUUUCUCACAUCAGAGCAAUCGAUUUUAUGUUACAACUUUAACCGAGACUUGUAACUCUUCAGCCAACGGUCAGCCCUAUGGAUAGGAGGACAUAAGCAGUGAAAGUGAUUUUUUUUUUUUUAAACAAGGUAUGAGACUGUUGACCUCGGAACGAAUUUCCCAUCGAGGUAGCCCCACCUAGAGGUGCUACAUGUGAAUGAUUCCAUUACUGCUCAAAAACUGCUUGGGGCUCUUCUUUUGGAACUGAUUUUGGUAGUGACAGCAUGUUCUAUGCGACAUCUACAGUGAUAAACUAUGUAUCUCUUUCGAGGGUGGAUUUGCUUUGGGGAAAUAGUUAAGAAUCACUCAUAAACCAAUCAGGUGAAUGGAAGGGAUGAUUGAGCUGAUUGGUACUGCCUGGGUGUUGAAAAUAAAAUAUGAUUUUACAAAGUAGCAAAACGUGUGUGUGUGUGUGUGUGUGUGUGUGUGUGUAUGAUAAUUCCAAAAGAAUAAUUUAUAAAUAUUUAUGAAUCUUUGGUAAAUGUUUAUAAAUGUUUAAUCAAGAUACGUAUUUUAGGAAAAUUUAUAUGCCUCUAUGAUAGAGAAUGAUUAUUGUGGAAGUCAGCAUUCAUUUGGAUUUGUAAGUUUUGGUACGCUCAUUUAAAAAGUCAGCUCUUUUUACUGAUUCAAAUGAAGAAGACUGGUUACAAUUAACAGAGUAUCAGACUCAAGAGAAGUUGAUUUCUCUCACAUG